UUGAUCUCAAAUCAGGUAGGACUACCCGCUGAACUUAAGCAUAUCAAUAAGCGGAGGAAAAGAAACUAACAAGGAUUCCCCUAGUAACUGCGAGUGAAGCGGGAAAAGCUCAAAUUUAAAAUCUGGUGGUCUUGUGGCCAUCCGAGUUGUAAUCUGGAGAAGCGUUUAUCCGCGUUGGACCGUGUACAAGUCUCCUGGAAGGGAGCGUCGUAGAGGGUGAGAAUCCCGUCUUUGACACGGACUACCAAUGCUUUUGUGAUGCGCUCUCGAAGAGUCGAGUUGUUUGGGAAUGCAGCUCAAAAUGGGUGGUAAAUUCCAUCUAAAGCUAAAUAUUGGCGAGAGACCGAUAGCGAACAAGUACCGUGAGGGAAAGAUGAAAAGCACUUUGGAAAGAGAGUUAAACAGUACGUGAAAUUGUUGAAAGGGAAACGUUUGAAGUCAGUCGCGUUGGCCGAGACUCAGCCCAGCUCCCGCUCGGUGCACUUCUCGGUCGACGGGUCAGCAUCAAUUUUGACCGCCGGAUAAAGGUUGGGGGAAUGUGGCAUCUUUCGGGAUGUGUUAUAGCCCUCGAUUCGCAUACGGCGAUUGGGAUUGAGGAACUCAGCGCGCCUUUAUGGUCGGGGUAAUCACCCACGUAACGCGCUCAGGAUGCUGCAUA
rnacentral:rRNA from 1 species